rnacentral:rRNA from 1 species
UCUAACCUUUUUUUCGAUGCUAGUGAGCGUUUUCGAAGGAUACGACCAAAAUAUCUUGAUUUGUUGCCAUUAAAGAUGAAACUAACGUAAUUGGAACGUUUAUACACGGAAAUCGAGGAUUUUUAAUAGUUUCUGUAUCUGUUUUUAUCCAUCCGCSCAUUUAGAUUCCAUUUUUGCGUCAAUUUUGAUGUUUAUUUUUAAAUUUGUCGUGCAUUCCCUGUGAAAUAAUUUGUAAAAUUACAAAAAGUGUUUGAAACAAGGUUCCUCCCACUUUUUAUGCCCUAAUAGUUUCUGUAUUAUUUAUUAUUGGAUAAGUUGAAAAUGCUUUCUCAGAAUGAGUUAUAUGCAAAUAGUGUGCGAAUG